AUUGAACGCUGGCGGCAUGCUUUACACAUGCAAGUCGAACGGUAACAGGCCGCAAGGUGCUGACGAGUGGCGAACGGGUGAGUAAUGCAUCGGAACGUGCCCAGUCGUGGGGGAUAACGCAGCGAAAGCUGCGCUAAUACCGCAUACGAUCUAUGGAUGAAAGCGGGGGACCGUAAGGCCUCGCGCGAUUGGAGCGGCCGAUGUCAGAUUAGGUAGUUGGGGGGGUAAAGGCUCACCAAGCCAACGAUCUGUAGCUGGUCUGAGAGGACGACCAGCCACACUGGGACUGAGACACGGCCCAGACUCCUACGGGAGGCAGCAGUGGGGAAUUUUGGACAAUGGGCGCAAGCCUGAUCCAGCAAUGCCGCGUGCAGGAAGAAGGCCUUCGGGUUGUAAACUGCUUUUGUACGGAACGAAACGAUCCUGGUCAAUACCUGGGGCUAAUGACGGUACCGUAAGAAUAAGCACCGGCUAACUACGUGCCAGCAGCCGCGGUAAUAC
rnacentral:rRNA from 1 species